rnacentral:rRNA from 1 species
GGUAGCUAUGUACGGCACGGAUAAGCGCUGAAAGCAUCUAAGCGCGAAGCCGCCUUCAAGAUGAGUAUUCCAUUUUCCUUCGGGAAAGAAAGGGUCGUGGGAGACUACCACGUUGAUAGGCUAUAGGUGUAAGUGCAGUAAUGUAUUAAGCCGAGUAGUACUAAUUACCCGAAUGCUUCCUUUUUUUA